rnacentral:rRNA from 1 species
CCUACGGGAGGCAGCAGUCGAGAAUCAUUCACAAUGGGGGAAACCCUGAUGGUGCGACGCCGCGUGGGGGAAUGAAGGUCUUCGGAUUGUAAACUCCUGUCAUGUGGGAGCAAAUUAAAAAGAUAGUACCACAAGAGGAAGAGACGGCUAACUCUGUGCCAGCAGCCGCGGUAAUACAGAGGUCUCAAGCGUUGUUCGGAAUCACUGGGCGUAAAGGGUGCGUAGGCUGUUUCGUAAGUCGGGUGUGAAAGGCGCGGGCUCAACCCGCGGACGGCACAUGAUACUGCGAGACUAGAGUAAUGGAGGGGGAAGCGGAAUUCUCGGUGUAGCAGUGAAAUGCGUAGAGAUCGAGAGGAACACUCGUGGCGAAGGCGGGUUCCUGGACAUUAACUGACGCUGAGGCACGAAGGCGAGGGGAGCGAAAGGGAUUAGAUACCCUGGUAGUC